GCCUCCCUUGCCAACCACAGCUGUGCAAAAGGAAGGCACAUCCCAAGCACUGUGCACGCCCAAAGCAGCACGGAGCUGUCAUAUUGCUAAAUGCUGCCAUGUGUGAUAGAGGCAGGACCUUGCAAGGCAAAAGGCAUUUUGCUGACACAUAGGAGAGCAACCCCAUGGUAAGAGUGGCUUUUAAGAAACAAGUAUGAAGGAGAGGAGUGGUAAACCCAGCUCUACCUGUACCCAAAGACACAGGUAGCACCUGGUGGCACUGAUAAAGCUGGUGCUGUGAGCCUUAGCUCCCAUAGGAAACAGGACCUCUACCAGCAUCCGUAAGUAAGUAUCCCCCUGUGUCUUUACACACUUAAAUACCUUUGCAAACCUGGCUCCUUGCCUGUUUCCCACACUGGGCUGCUGCUGCUUUACUUGUGCACAGCAGCAGGAGCAAGGAGCUCAGCUGUAAUUUGGGGUUGUGUUGUGCUAAGCGCUGUACAGGCGCAGAACAAAAGACCUCUGACUGCUUCCCAGCAUCCAGCUCUUGUUGUUUCAAAAACAACCCUCCCCGUUUCUCUGUUUUUUUACUUUUAUUCAUUGUUUUCUUGCUUCCUUUAUAUUCCUGGUGCCUCCAAGCUAGAAUACCUUUGCUGGGCUCCUGAGGGAGCCAGGCCAAGCCACAUGGAAAGGGCUUUUUACCUGUGUCCCGCUUAUCUGUAAGAGGGUCGGAACGUGUGUGUAUCCCAUUAACUCUGUCCUCGCUGCUCUCAAGAUGUUCCGCACAAAUGAUUUUAUUUUUUUGUGAAACAGAAAUUUGGCAAAACACAACCUGUUCCUGGGCGCCUAAGAGCUACAGAAACCAGCUCCCAAAGGAAGCCAUAAAGUGCCAUUGUAUGCCUACUGGGUCUGAUGAAACACCAGAGGAAAUGAUCCCAAGUGAAGGUCUUUGCCAUUUCUCACACCUCUGGUUCUCUGAUCCACCCUCUUUGUGUCUCUGGGUUGGCUACAAAUGGGGAGAGAACAGUCCUGGAAAGGCUGUGCUUCAGAGAACAACUGGAGAUGUUCAGAUAUGAGCCUUAUCUGCCUUGCAUUGAGAGCAUCAUUAGAGGAAGACCAGCGUGGACUCCACCACCCAGCCUCACCUUGCUGGCACUACAGGUUGUACCGUGCAGCCUUGGCCCGCACCCCUCCUCCAGGGCCUUAUUGCAUAAAGCCCACCACCCAGGGUGGUAUGGGCCCUACCUUGCCUCAGGGGCACUGCUGCAUUCCCUGCCUUCCCACACAGCCCUUCCCCACCCACCCAACAUCACCUGAGUCCUCGGGACAUCUACAGCAGCUUCCUACAGGAAUGUCAUGUCGGGAAGGCAUUUAAAGCCUUUGUAGCUCUAAUGCCAUGUAAACAAGGAGGUAAGCCCACCCCACCCCACCACUCCAAAGCCCUUUUGAUGUUGAUUUCUUUUAUGGCCACCAGUCACACUUUGGGAAUGGGGCUCCUACGGGAGAGCUGGUCCCUGCACCAACCCGUCUGCAGUCCUGCUGCCUGCUCCUGCGUAGCACCCAGCUCUUGGAGCCCUCGCUGGCUUCUGAGCCAAGACAGGGUGUCCCUGGGAGCUUUGCCUGUAUAAGGGCUGCAGCGUCUGGCACGUUGUCUGGAAAGCGCUGUGUAAAUAGGAGGGACAAUUAUCACAGCCCUUUCCCGAAAGGAAAUUCCAUAUUGGCACCGAGCGGCAGGAUAGGAUGGCAGAGCAGGCUGGGCUGUGCGCAGGGCUCUGCCCUCCUCCGGCAGCCUCUGACAGCAUGGGGAGGGAAACCGGCUCUUUGAUGGGACAUGCUGCUCUAGUGGAAGCCCAUAUGGUACUGAGCGAUCUGUGCUGAAUGCCCCUGUUAUCCACACGCCCCUGUCACCGCCCCGCUGCCUCUACCCUCCCCUCGGGCCCCUUCCCUGAUGCAGAGGUUAAAUAAAAUAUCAUUUCCUUCUGA